CUGUGUGAAGAAACGCUACAAUACGGAAAAAUGUUUGUGUGCUGCCAAAGCUGUUAACACACAGACACAAAAAACGUAACAUGAUCACCAAAACUCACCAAAACUAUAUCUUACAGAGGACACAGAUGGAUAUGGAUUUGGUCUGGCGGUUGNCAACAAAAUCGCUACAUCUGACAAUCAAAUUGUUUGCUGCGUAUAUGCAUCCAUAUACACACACAAUAUACUGAAAUUUAAGAAACAGAUUUUAACCAAGAUAAACAAAAUACUAUAUAAACUCGAUAUUAUAGAAAAUAGAAUUUGUAUGUUGGAUGAAAAAAUGCAAUCCUCGAAUAGUUUUAUUCAGGAAUUUGAUUGUCACUUUCCAAUAUCAACAUUAUUGGAACUAACACAUUUUGAAAAACAAUUACAAGAAACAAAAUUUAAACUGGGAGUUAUUAAUACCUUUAAACUCGUUGGAGGAAAUACUGCUCAUGCUAUGAUACGGAAUAUAUUACAAAAAGCAAUAACAAAUGAAUUAGCUCAAUAUUUCAGUUGGGCCGGAAAGAAAAAGAAACGUAGGUUUAAAGACUUGAAUCUUGCAACAAUAC